rnacentral:rRNA from 1 species
UACAGAGGUCCCAAGCGUUGUUCGGAUUCACUGGGCGUAAAGGGUGCGUAGGUGGUAAGGUAAGUCGGAUGUGAAAUCUCCGAGCUCAACUUGGAAACUGCAUUGGAAACUGCCUUGCUAGAGGAUUUGAGGGGGGAUUGGAAUACUUGGUGUAGCAGUGAAAUGCGUAGAUAUCAAGUGGAACACCAGUGGCGAAGGCGAAUCCCUGGAAAAUACCUGACACUGAGGCACGAAAGCUAGGGGAGCAAACAGG